rnacentral:rRNA from 1 species
AGUGGGGAAUAUUGCACAAUGGGCGGAAGCCUGAUGCAGCGACGCCGCGUGAGGGAUGACGGCCUUCGGGUUGUAAACCUCUUUCAGCAGGGACGAAGCGUAAGUGACGGUACCUGCAGAAGAAGCGCCGGCCAACUACGUGCCAGCAGCCGCGGUAAGACGUAGGGCGCGAGCGUUGUCCGGAUUUAUUGGGCGUAAAGAGCUCGUAGGCGGCUUGUCGCGUCGACUGUGAAAACCCGCAGCUCAACUGCGGGCCUGCAGUCGAUACGGGCAGGCUAGAGUUCGGUAGGGGAGACUGGAAUUCCUGGUGUAGCGGUGAAAUGCGCAGAUAUCAGGAGGAACACCGGUGGCGAAGGCGGGUCUCUGGGCCGAUACUGACGCUGAGGAGCGAAAGCGUGGGGAGCGAA